CUGUAAUCAGUGGGCUUCUGUGGUCCUGUGGGUCCUCCCCUUAGGCUGGGGGAGGAUCCUUUAGCACUUCCUGGAAACCCAAUAGAUAUAGGUGCCUAUGCUAGGAUUUAGUUGAAAAAAAACCUUCAGAUGAAGUAACUUUUCUAGGAGGUGGGUUAAAGAGAUCAAAUCGCAUAAAAUGUAUGUGUUAUGUUCAUGAAUUAAAUCUAGGUUCUACUGCCUCUGUUUCCUUCAAUAAAUACUCCCUUUACCUCCAUCAGUUCUUAGAGGGAUGGCCUUUCUGAACUGCUGUUAGCAGAAUUAAUCUCUAUUUCUCUUCACAGAUGUCUCAAUAACACAUCCUUUCCUGUUGCUCCCAGAUGUCAUACACUGAGUUAUGCUGUAGGGCCUCUCUCCGCUAUAGAUUCUCUGGUGCUGCAUGAAUAUUGAUCUGCUAAUGAACUUCUUCCCACAGUCAGCACACGUGAAGAGCAACUCCCUGGUAUGGGUUCUGUGAUGGUUAGUGAGGGCCACUCCUUGCUGUGGAUUCUCUGGUGCUGCAUGGGGAAGGAGGCAUUUCUCAAGCUCCUCCCACCCUGGGUACGUUUGCACAGCCUG